GCAGCUGCAGCGCUGAGCGGAGGAGGCAGGAACCAAGUUCGAGCGGCAGCUGGGUGGGCACCAUGGCUGGAAUCACCACCAUCGAGGCGGUGAAGCGCAAGAUCCAGGUUCUGCAGCAGCAGGCCGAUGAUGCCGAGGAAAGAGUCGAGCGGCUGCAGCGGGAAGUAAAGGGAGAAAGGCGGAUCCGGGAACAGGCUGAGGCUGAGGUGGCCUCCUUGAACCGUAGGAUCCAGCUGGUCGAAGAGGAGCUGGACCGUGCUCAGGAGCACCUGGCCACUGCCCUGCAAAAGUUGGAAGAAGCAGAAAAAGCUGCUGAUGAGAGCGAGAGAGGUAUGAAGGUUAUUAAAAACUGGGCCUUAAAAGAUGAAGAAAAGAUGGAACUCCAGGAAAUCCAACUCAAAGAAGCUAAGCACAUUGCAGAAGAGGCAGAUAGGAAAUAUGAAGAGGUGGCUCGUAAGUUGGUGAUUAUUGAAGGAGACCUAGAACGCACAGAGGAGCGAGCUGAGCUGGUAGAAUCCCGUUGCCGAGAGAUGGAUGAGCAGAUCAGACUGAUGGACCAGAACCUGAAGUGUCUGAGUGCUGCUGAAGAAAAGUACUCUCAAAAAGAAGACAAAUAUGAGGAAGAGAUCAAGAUUCUUUCUUUUUUUUUUUUGA